UUCCGGUUGAUCCCGCCGGACCUGACUGCUAUCGGAUUGAUACUAAGCCAUGCGAGUCAUUGUAGCAAUACAAGGCAGACGGCUCAGUAACGCGUAGUCAACCUAACCUAUGGACGGGAAUAACCUCGGGAAACUGAGAAUAAUGCCCGAUAGAACACUAUGCCUGGAAUGGUUUGUGUUCCAAAUGAUUUAUCGCCGUAGGAUGGGACUGCGGCCUAUCAGUUUGUUGGUGAGGUAAUGGCCCACCAAGACUAUUACAGGUACGGGCUCUGAGAGGAGUAGCCCGGAGAUGGGUACUGAGACACGGACCCAGGCCCUAUGGGGCGCAGCAGGCGAGAAAACUUUGCAAUGUGCGAAAGCACGACAAGGUUAAUCCGAGUGGUUUCUGCUAAAGGAACCUUUUGUCGGUCCUAGAAACACCGAUGAAUAAGGGGUGGGCAAGUUCUGGUGUCAGCCGCCGCGGUAAAACCAGCACCUCAAGUGGUCAGGAUGAUUAUUGGGCCUAAAGCAUCCGUAGCCUGCUUUGUUAGUUUUCGGUUAAAUCUAUGCGCUCAACGUAUAGGCUGCCGGGAAUACUGCAAAGCUAGGGAGUGGGAGAGGUAGACGGUACUCGGUAGGAAGGGGUAAAAUCCUUUGAUCUAUUGAUGACCACCUGUGGCGAAGGCGGUCUACCAGAACACGUCCGACGGUGAGGGAUGAAAGCUGGGGGAGCAAACCGGAUUAGAUACCCGGGUAGUCCCAGCCGUAAACCAUGCAAACUCAGUGAUGCAUUGGCUUGUGGCCAAUGCAGUGCUGCAGGGAAGCCGUUAAGUUUGCCGCCUGGGAAGUACGUACGCAAGUAUGAAACUUAAAGGAAUUGGCGGGGGAGCACCACAAGGGGUGAAGCCUGCGGUUCAAUUGGAGUCAACGCCGGGAAUCACUAGUG
rnacentral:rRNA from 1 species